UAAGUCGGUAGUGAAAGCGUGGGGCUCAACCCCAUAAACAUUACCGAAACUGCGAAGCUAGAGGACGAGAGAGGUUAUUGGAAUUCCCAGUGUAGGAGUGAAAUCCGUAGAUAUUGGGAGGAACACCGAUGGCGUAGGCAGAUAACUGGCUCGUUCCUGACACUAAGGCACGAAAGCGUGGGUAGCAAACGGGAUUAGAUACCCCGGUAGUCCACGCCGUAAACUAUGGAUGCUA
rnacentral:rRNA from 1 species